rnacentral:rRNA from 1 species
UUAAGCCAUGCAUGUCUAAGUAUAAGCAAUUAUACAGCGAAACUGCGAAUGGCUCAUUAUAUAAGUUAUCGUUUAUUUGAUAGUACCUUACUACUUGGAUAACCGUGGUAAUUCUAGAGCUAAUACAUGCUAAAAAUCCCGACUUCGGAAGGGAUGUAUUUAUUAGAUUAAAAACCAAUGCCCUCUGGGCUCCUUGGUGAUUCAUAAUAACUUUUCGAAUCGCAUGGCCUUGCGCCGGCGAUGGUUCAUUCAAAUUUCUUCCCUAUCAACUUUCGAUGUUUGGGUAUUGGCCAAACAUGGUCGCAACGGGUAACGGAGGGUUAGGGCUCGACCCCGGAGAAGGAGCCUGAGAAACGGCUACUACAUCCAAGGAAGGCAGCAGGCGCGCAAAUUACCCAAUCCCGAUUCGGGGAGGUAGUGACAAUAAAUACUGAUACAGGGCUCUUUUGGGUCUUGUAAUUGGAAUGAGUACAAUUUAAAUCCCUUAACGAGGAACAAUUGGAGGGCAAGUCUGGUGCCAGCAGCCGCGGUAAUUCCAGCUCCAAUAGCGUAUAUUAAAGUUGUUGUGGUUAAAAAGCUCGUAGUUGAACCUUGGGCCUGGCUGGCCGGUCCGCCUCACCGCGUGUACUGGUCCGGCCGGGCCUUUCCCUCUGUGGAACCUCAUGCCCUUCACUGGGUGUGGCGGGGAAACAGGACUUUUACUUUGAAAAAAUUAGAGUGCUCCAGGCAGGCCUAUGCUCGAAUACAUUAGCAUGGAAUAAUAAAAUAGGACGCGUGGUUCUAUUUUGUUGGUUUCUAGGACCGCCGUAAUGAUUAAUAGGGACAGUCGGGGGCAUCAGUAUUCAAUUGUCAGAGGUGAAAUUCUUGGAUUUAUUGAAGACUAACUACUGCGAAAGCAUUUGCCAAGGAUGUUUUCAUUAAUCAGGAACGAAAGUUAGGGGAUCGAAGACGAUCAGAUACCGUCGUAGUCUUAACCAUAAACUAUG